rnacentral:tRNA from 1 species
GCUGUGGCUCAGUGGAAGAGCUUCUGCUUUGCGUACAGGAAAUCCCAGGUUCAGUCCCUGAUAUCUCCU